rnacentral:ncRNA from 1 species
UUUUUUGGAAAAUUGUUAAGAUUACUAUAAUUAAAUAAAAUUAGUAUUAGGAAAAAGGGAAGUUCGGUUAAAAUCCGACGCGGUCCCGCCGCUGUAAUCGGGAACAAAGCCUAAACACGCCACUUUACACAAGUAAGGGAAGGCAUAGGCUGCGAAUGAUCCGAGAGCCAGAAGACCUGCCUAAUAUGAGCCUUUGAA